GAUGAACGCUGGCGGCGUGCUUAACACAUGCAAGUCGAACGAAGCACUGUUGAUAGAUUCUUCGGAUGAUAGAUACAGUGACUGAGUGGCGGACGGGUGAGUAACGCGUGGGUAACCUGCCUCAUACAGGGGGAUAACAGUUAGAAAUGACUGCUAAUACCACAUAAGCGCACAGUACUGCAUGGUACAGUGUGAAAAACUCCGGUGGUAUGAGAUGGACCCGCGUCUGAUUAGCUAGUUGGUGGGGUAACGGCCCACCAAGGCGACGAUCAGUAGCCGACCUGAGAGGGUGACCGGCCACAUUGGGACUGAGACACGGCCCAAACUCCUACGGGAGGCAGCAGUGGGGAAUAUUGCACAAUGGGCGAAAGCCUGAUGCAGCGACGCCGCGUGAGCGAAGAAGUAUUUCGGUAUGUAAAGCUCUAUCAGCAGGGAAGAAAAUGACGGUACCUGACUAAGAAGCACCGGCUAAAUACGUGCCAGCCGCCGCAGUAAUAC
rnacentral:rRNA from 1 species